UAUGUGAUCGUCUCUCGCAUAUCAAUAAGCGGAGGAAAAGAAACUAACAAGGAUUCCCCUAGUAACGGCGAGUGAAGCGGGAAGAGCUCAAAUUUGAAAUCUUAAAGGGUUUCCCUUUACGAAUUGUAGUUUAAAGAAGUGUUUUCUGUUGAGGUUUUGGUAAAAGUUCUUUGGAAUAGGACAUCAUAGAGGGUGAGAAUCCCGUAUUUGACCUUUACUUUCAACUUUGUGAUACACUUUCAAAGAGUCGGAUUGUUUGGGAAUGCAGUCCAAAAUGGGUGGUAAAUUUCAUCUAAAGCUAAAUAUUGGCGAGAGACCGAUAGCGAACAAGUACCGUGAGGGAAAGAUGAAAAGAACUUUGAAAAGAGAGUUAAACAGUACGUGAAAUUGUCAAAAGGGAAGCGUUUGACACCAGUGUUGUUUUUCUGAAAAUCAAUUAAAGAACUGUUUAUGCUAAGUUGUUUAGACUUUAUCAGCUAUCUGCUUAGUUUUGAGCUUUUCUUUAAUGCACUUUUCAGUUAACAAGUCAACAUCAAUUUCUUUUGCUGUAAAAAAGGCUUGAGGAAGGUGGCUUGAGAUUCGUCUUAAGUGUUUAUAGCCUCUUGCCUAUGCAGUCGGAGAGAUUGAGGUCUGCAGCGUAGAUCCUUCGGGGCUAAAUGCAUUUGUGCUAAGUUAUAGCAUUUUAUAGACAACUUGUUGACUAUGAUUUGUCUUGUAGCUUACUCGCUUAUGUUAUUUUACCUACGCUUAGGAUGUUGAUCUACAGAGCGAGAGU
rnacentral:rRNA from 1 species